GACGGUCUGUGCACGCUGGCCCCGGCAGGUGCUGCCCUGGAGGUGAGGGGUGCUGCUGACCUGGGCUUGGCUCCCUCGGGGUCCACUGGAGAUGCAGCCCCCUGCUGCCUUCUGGUUGCAGGUGGCUGUGGGUUCGACACUGGAUGCCACUGUUUGCCGCCUGGGAUGGACAGGCUGGGUGGCAGGGUUUCAAGGAAGGACCACAGGAAGAAGUUGGCAGUGCCACGGCUACUCAGCCUCCCAGGGGGCAUGUGCGGGACUCUAGGCCACCUCGUCUGCCAUUGCUCCAGAUGACCUGUAAUACACCUGGGCAUUCGAGGCCACCUUGGGUGUGCAGGGCCAGCAGGCCCUCUAGGAGUGGGGCUGUCCCUUGCCUUGUCCCUGGAGGGCCCAGGAAACUGGACCGCUGUGUGUUUGCUGCGGCAGCGAUUCCACCCAGGCAGCUCCAGGGCUUCUCUGCUGACGCCUGGACUCAGACCUGGACUGACGCCCCCAGCAUGUCACAGACAGACUGACUCGACGGGGGCUGGGGGAGGCGCCAGGCAGGGGCCCAGGGCCAGGGCAGACUUCUGAGGAGUGGGCAAGAGCGCAGCGUGGCAGGCCUUUGCCUCGCAGCACAGUGCUCUACCCCUGAGCCCCAGCCCCAGCCCCGGGUUUCUUUUAAGGGAGGAGCGAGGUUGCCCUCCCUGAUCAGCUCAGCUGCCCUGGCCAGGGUCGGGGGAGGGGAGGAAGGGACGGAGCCCAGAGGAAGGUGUCCCCACUGAGGUCCCUGCCUCCCUCAGCUGGCUUGGGAUGCCCGGGAGGAGCCUGAGGCCCAUGGCUGGUGCAGGGCCAACCCUGUGCCCAGUGCUCUCCCUGUCCCCCGCCUCCCGGCAGGUUCUUGCAGUCACAUGUGCCUGAGCGUCAGGCUGGCAGGGCCAUGAUGUCCUCUGAGAAGGGAGGGGCCCGUCCGGGUCCUGGGUUGCCAACAUCAGAAUCCUCUCUGGCACAUUCAGCUGGAAAAGGAGUUUGAAAGGAUGGCAAGGAGUGUGCAGCCUUAUUAGGAACCAGAGAAACAGAUGGAAGCUUCCAAGAGCC
rnacentral:lncRNA from 1 species